rnacentral:rRNA from 1 species
CUACGGGAGGCAGCAGUGGGGAAUUUUCCGCAAUGGGCGAAAGCCUGACAGAGCAAUACCGCGUGAGGGAGGAAUGCCUACGGGUUGUAAACCUCUUUUGUCAAGGAGGAAGUUCUGACGUGUACUUGACGAAUAAGCAUCGGCUAACUCCGUGCCAGCAGCCGCGGUAAUACGGAGGAUGCGAGUGUUAUCCGGAAUCACUGGGCGUAAAGCGUCUGUAGGUUGUUUGCUAAGUCUGCUGUUAAAGCUUGAAGCUCAACUUCAAAAAUGCAGCGGAAACUAGUAGACUUGAGUGUGGUAGGGGUAGAGGGAAUUUCCAGUGAAGUGGUGAAAUGCGUAGAUAUUGGAAAGACCACCAAUGGCGAAGGCACUCUACUGGGCCAUUACUGACACUGAGAGACGAAAGCUAGGGGAGCAAAUGGGAUUAGAUACGCCUGUAGUC